rnacentral:lncRNA from 10 species
AGAAGUGAACCACACCCCCAUCACAUGCCCUGAGAUGGGGACAAGGGAACUUUUUCUGUUUCAGUAGUUGAAGAGCACACAGAAGGGAUCUACUUAGCAAGAUCAAGGAAGAUUUCCACAAGGAAGUGCGGACCGAGCUAAGAUAUGAUGAAGGAACAGGAAUUAAAUACAUAACAGAGUGUGAGGGCAGGAGGCAAGCAUAAGGGUCAGGCUUCCAAAAAGGUCAGUCUGAUUACAGCAGACGGAGCAAGAAUCAGGGUUAAAGCAGAAGAGACUUCAAGGAAGGAAGGAGGCAGAUCAUGCAGAUCUUUUACAAAAAUCCGUGGUCACAAAUUUUCACCCAGCUCUGUGAGUUAGACAAUAUUCUCACUUUGUAGAAUAGCAAGAUGAAGCUCAAAACUGAGAAACUGGACUAUGGUCACAGAGCCGGUAAAGAAAGCAGGAAACUGUGACUAAAUGAAGAUCACAGAGCCAGUUGAUCAGUGGGGAAGCUGCAUCUGAAAUCCAGGACUUCUAGAUCCUGGGUCAACUGGUGUAGACAUCUUGUCACCCGAAGAGCAACCAGAGGACGUAGAAAAUGGACCUGAUCUCAGAUGAGACAAAAUAGAGCAUGUCACUAAGGGAGGACACUGUUUCAAGAUUCCUGCGCCAGCUCCUUCGUUGUUAUAGAAGUUGGACUAAAUAAAAGGGAUUUUCAAAGAUGUUUGGAAAUGUGAUCCAUUAGCUAUAGCAGCCAUGAAGAUGUAGGACAAUUGAUUUGGAUCCAUUCUGUUAGAGGAGACUCACCCACACCAAAGAGUCCUGGCCACACUGAGGUAGAGAAGAAGGCUAUGAGGCCCUCUGGACCAGAUGCACACUGCUCUGGAGUUGGAUGUAAUCACAAGCGUACAGAUAACAGGCAGGCAGGAAUGUGAAAAUCAGAGAGAAGAGAGAUGUGCACCAGAAGCUGGAGUAAUGUGCUUUGAAGAUGGAGGAAGGGACCAUAAAUCAAGGAAUGCAGACAGCCUGUAGAAGCUGGGAAAGGCAAGGAUGUGGAUUCACUCGAGUCUCUAGAAGAAACGCAACCCCGCCAACACCUUGAUUUGAGGACGUCUGACCUUCAGAAUGAGAAAAUGAUACAUUUGUGUUGUAAGCCACCCAGUUUGUGAAAUAUGUAUCAACAAUUGAAAACUAGUACAUAGUCAAAUACUCAAUCUCUGUUUUUUUUAGCUUAUCAUUUUCAAUCUCUGUCUCCAACCCACAAACCACAUGCAUCAUAAAUAAAUUAAAAUACCAAAACUUUU